GGACUGCGGGUGCUACAAUGCAGUCGUACGCUUCUUUUUCCCCGGAGCUUGCUCCCCGGAAAAGGAGGAGUGGUGAACGGUGGAUUAACACGUGCGUAACCUGCCCAUCAUAAGGGGAUAACACUUGGAAACAGGUGCUAAUACCGUAUAACAAUCGAAACCGCAUGGUUUUGAUUUGAAGGGCGCUUUCGGGUGUCGCUGAUGGAUGGACCCGCGGUGCAUUAGCUAGUUGGUGAGGUAACGGCUCACCAAGGCCACGAUGCAUAGCCGACCUGAUAGGGUGAUCGGCCACAUUGGGACUGAAACACGGCCCAAACUCCUACGGGAGGCACCAUGAGGGAAUCUUCGGCAAUGGACUAAAGUCUGACCGAACAACGCCGCGUGAGUGAAAAAGGUUUUCGGAUCGUAAAACUCUGUUGUUAUAAAAAAACAAGGAUGAUAGUAACUGUUCAUCCCUUGACGGUAUCUAACCCCAAAGCCACGGCUAACUACGUGCCAACAGCCGCGGUAAUACGUAGGUGGCAAGCGUUGUCCGGAUUUAUUGGGCGUAAAGCGAGCGCAAGCGGUUUCUUAAGUCUGAUGUGAGAGCCCCCGGCUCAACCGGGGAGGGUCAUUGGAAACUGGAAGACUUGAGUGCUCAAGAGGAAAGUGGAAUUCCAUGUGUAACGGUGAAAUGCAUAGAUAUAUGGAGGAACCCCCUGGCGAAGGCUGCUCUCUGGUCUGUACUGACGCUGAGGCUCGAAAGCGUGAUAACCAAACAGGAUUAAAUACCCUGGUAGUCCACUCGUAGAUGAUGACUGCUAGGUGUUCUACGUUUCCACCCCUUCAAUGCUGACCUAACGCAUUAACACUCCGCCUGGGGAUUACACUGAAUGUUGAAACUCAGAGAAAUUGACGGGAGCCCCUACAAUCGGUGAGCAGUGUUAUAUUCUAACCAGCCCAAGCACCU
rnacentral:rRNA from 1 species